GAUGAACGCUGGCGGCGUGCCUAAUACAUGCAAGUCGAGCGAACAGACGAGGAGCUUGCUCCUCUGACGUUAGCGGCGGACGGGUGAGUAACACGUGGAUAACCUACCUAUAAGACUGGGAUAACUUCGGGAAACCGGAGCUAAUACCGGAUAAUAUAUUGAACCGCAUGGUUCAAUAGUGAAAGACGGUUUUGCUGUCACUUAUAGAUGGAUCCGCGCCGCAUUAGCUAGUUGGUAAGGUAACGGCUUACCAAGGCAACGAUGCGUAGCCGACCUGAGAGGGAGAUCGGCCACACGGGAACUGAGACACGGUCCAGACUCCUACGGGAGGCAGCAGUAGGGAAUCUUCCGCAAUGGGGGAGAGCUGGACGGAGCAACGCCGCGUGAGUGAUGAAGGUCUUCGGAUCGGAAAACUCUGUUAUUAGGGAAGAACAAAUGUGUAAGUAACUAUGCACGUCUUGACGGUACCUAAUCAGAAAGCCACGGCUAACUACGUG
rnacentral:rRNA from 1 species